rnacentral:tRNA from 1 species
GUAGCUCAGCUGGGUAGAGCACAAACCGUCCUCCAUCACCUCGUCGCCGUAAUCAAACAAGCUGGCGAAUGCCGGCGGGACUACAUCGGUAUAGGCGGUUCGACUCCGCCCCGGG